CAGUGUUACAGCUCUUUUAGAAUUUGUCUAGCAGGUCUUCCGGUUCCUACUGGAAGGCCCCC
rnacentral:snRNA from 1 species